CCUACGGGAGGCAGCAGUGGGGAAUAUUGCACAAGGGGGGAAACCCUGAUGCAGCAACGCCGCGUGAGUGAAGAAGGAUUUCGGUAUGGAAAGCUCUAGCAGCAGGGAAGAAGAUGACGGUACCUGAAGAAGAAGCCCCGGCUAACUACGUGCCAGCAGCCGCGGUAAUACAGAGGGGGCAAGCUUUAUCCGGAUUUACUGGGUGGAAAGGGAGCGCAGACGGCUGUGCAAGUCUGGAGUGAAAGCCCGGGGCCCCACCCCGGAACUGCUCUGGAAACUGUGCGGCUAGAGUACUGGAGGGGCAGGCGGCAUUCCUCGUGUAGCGGUGAAAUGCGUCGAUAUUAGGCGGA
rnacentral:rRNA from 1 species